rnacentral:misc_RNA from 1 species
AAGUCGUAACAAGGUUUCCGUAGGUGAACCUGCGGAAGGAUCAUUAUUGAAUGAACUUGGUAUGAUUGUUGCUGGCCCAUCUGGGCAUGUGCACGUCUGCCAUCUUUAUCUCUCCACCUGUGCACAUAUUGUAGGUCUGGAAUAAAUUUCUGAGGCAACUCAGUAGUGGGGAAUGCUGCUGCGAAGUGGCUUUGCCUGUAAUUUCAGAUCUAUGUUUUCAUAUACACCCUAAAAAUGUAACAGAAUGUAUUAAUGGGUCUUGUACCUAUAAACUAUAUACAACUUUCAGCAACGGAUCUCUUGGCUCUC